GCCCAGGGCCUGAGGCUGGAACCCCUUGGGAGUGGGAAGGGUGCCGGGUCCCAGGGAGGAGGCCUCCAGGUGCUGCCCAAGCCCCUGGGUGUGCACUGUGCAGCCCAGACCAGGCUGCUUGGAAUCAGAGGCCGGCACCCACCCACUUCUGGGCCCAGCCCAUGUCCUCUGAAACAUCCUCCUUCCUGGGCAUCAUGGGAAUUUUCUCUGCCACCUGUUCCCAUCCUGCAGCGCAGUGUACAGGUGGAGGCCAUGUGGGACCAGGAAACCAAGGACGCAGGAAGAAGGAGCUUGGCUUCUGUCUUGGCCCACUGUGCUCCACGCUUGUCCUCAGGGCAGCGUCCAUCAGCCCUGGACCCUGAGCUGUCACCCA